rnacentral:rRNA from 1 species
CUACGGGCGGCUCCAGUGAGGAAUUUUGCGCAAUGGGGGCAACCCUGACGCAGCAACGCCGCGUGAGUGAAGAAGGCCUUUGGGUCGUAAAGCUCUGUCAACAGGGAAGAAGCUAAUGACAUUUAAUAGAUGUUGUUAUUGACGGUACCUGUGGAGGAAGCGCCGGCUAACUCCGUGCCAGCAGCCGCGGUAACACGGGGGGCGCAAGCGUUAUUCGGAAUUAUUGGGCGUAAAGGGCGCGCAGGCGGUCUUGUCCGUCAGGUGUGAAAGCUCGGGGCUCAACCCCGGAAGUGCACUUGAAACAGCAAGACUUGAACACGGGAGAGGAAAGCGGAAUUCCUGGUGUAGAGGUGAAAUUCGUAGAUAUCAGGAGGAACACCGAUGGCGAAGGCAGCUUUCUGGACCGAUAUUGACGCUGAGGCGCGAAGGCGUGGGGAGCGAACGGGAUUAGAUACCCCCGUAGUC